UAUCUCCGCAGUAGAGUUUCUACUUACAUGUCUUAUCAGCAAGCGUAUUAUACAUCUCAGGGUGUUAGGUACACUUCAUGUGGUUUGUUUGGAUGGAAAAGAUGUACCAGAUAUUAUACACAUUACACCUACUACACACAGUCCUAUGUGUCAUAUAGAACAGUAUAUUAUUAUACCAGUGAUUGCUGCAGUGGAUAUGCAUUAGUCAGUGGACAAUGCAUACCUCAAUGUUCUCAGGGUUGCUUUUAUGGGAAUUGUAUCAGCCCUGAUGUGUGUAGCUGUGAUGCUGGUUGGACUGGAUAUUCAUGUCAAAC